rnacentral:rRNA from 1 species
UACGAAGGGUGCAAGCGUUAAUCGGAAUUACUGGGCGUAAAGCGUGCGUAGGCGGUUGGUUAAGUCUGUCGUGAAAGCCCUGGGCUCAACCUGGGAAUGGCGAUGGAAACUGGCCAGCUAGAGUGUGAUAGAGGAUGGCGGAAUUCCCGGUGUAGCGGUGAAAUGCGUAGAGAUCGGGAGGAACAUCCGUGGCGAAGGCGGCCAUCUGGAUCAACACUGACGCUGAUGCACGAAAGCGUGGGGAGCAAACAGG